UAAACAAAUAUGUUUUGUUUAGUCCCUAUCUACGAUCUAGCGAAACCACAGCCAAAGGAAUGGGCUUGAAAUAAUUAGCGGGGAAAGAAGACCAUUUUGAGCUUGACUCUAAUCUGGCAGUGUAAGGAGACAUAAGAGGUGUAGAAUAAGUGGGAUAAGGAGAUAUUAGACUUCGGUUUGGUAUCGACAAUGAAAUACCACUACUCUUAUUGUUUCCUUACUUACUUGAUUAAAUGGAACGUGUAUCAUUUCCUACCCAUUAUACGGAUAUAAUUAUUAUGUCUUAUGGUAUUGGGUUUUGAUGCAAGCUUCUUGAUCAAAGAAUCACGAGUUUGUUAUAUAAUCGCAAACAAAUUCUUUAAUGAGAGAAUGCAUUUAUGUAUUAUUGAUUUAAAAAUUUGGUAUAACUCCAAUUACUCAGGUAUGAUCCAAUUCAAGGACAUUGCCAGGUAGGGAGUUUGACUGGGGCGGUACAUCUCUCAAAUAAUAACGGAGGUGUCCCAAGGCCAGCUCAGUGCGGACAGAAACCACACAUAGAGCAAAAGGGCAAAUGCUGACUUGAUCUCGGUGUUCAGUACACACAGGGACAGCAAAAGCUCGGCCUAUCUAUCCUUUUGGUUUAAAGAGUUUUUACCAAGAGGUGUCAGAAAAGUUACCAUAGGGAUAACUGGCUUGUGGCGGCCAAGCGUUCAUAGCGACGUCGCUUUUUGAUCCUUCGAUGUCGGCUCUUCCUAUCAUUGUGAAGCAAAAUUCACCAAGCGUUGGAUUGUUCACCCAUGCAAGGGAACGUGAGCUGGGUUUAGACCGUCGUGAGACAGGUUAGUUUUACCCUACUAAUGACAAAACGUUGUUGCGACAGCAUUCCUGCGUAGUACGAGAGGAACCGCAGGUACGGACCAAUGGCACAAUACUUGUUCGAGCGAACAGUGGUAUGACGCUACGUCCGUUGGAUUAUGCCUGAACGCCUCUAAUGUCGUAUCCGUGCUGGACUGCUAUGAUAAAUAAGGGGCAAUUUGCAUUGGAUGGCUUCUAAACCAUUAAAAGUUUUUAAUUUGUUUUAUUAACGACAAUGGAUGUGAUGCCAAUGUUAUUUAUAACAUAGUAAAUUGGGAGGAUCUUCGAUCACCUGAUGCCGCGCUAGUUAUAUUUUAAAACAUUAUUUAAUACAAUGUCAAAGCCUAGAAUCAAUAGUAAACGGCUUUUGUAACAGGCAAGGUGUUGUAAGUGGUUGAGCAGCUGCCAUACUGCGAUCCACUGAAGCUUGUCCUUUGCUUGAUGAUUC
rnacentral:ncRNA from 1 species